rnacentral:lncRNA from 1 species
AGAGUGGCUGACAACUGGUUUGGGGCGUGUUGUUACUCUUUUAGAGGAGUAAGUGAGAAGAUGGUGAUGAGGUAUGUCAGUUCAUAUACAUGCAUGCUGGGGGUCUAUCUAUUAACUUCUGCUUCUAUCACUAUUUGCAAGGAUAAUAUUGUGGAAUAUAAUUUUCCAGAAGGGUGUGGAAAGCAAAAAUGUACUUAUGUAGCAGAAAACCCGAGAGAUGAUGGUAUUCAACCCUAAAAUACUCUAAAAUGACACACAUCUAGAAUCCUCUACCAGGGUGGUUGAGUUUGUUUAUGUUACUGUUAGAAUAUAAAGAAUCAAGAGACUAAUACUACAUUACUAGUAUAAAAGUAAGGGUGAUUACUCUCUACUUUUGAAAUUUGUUUGCUUCUUUAUUAGGCUCAUCACCUUAAUUUGAUGCAUUUGUAAAACCAAUAAUAUAUAGUGAUCAGUAGUUAUUGUCCAUUGGCAUGCUAUAUCAGCUUGAGUGUUUUCUAUUUACCUUUCUAUUAUUGGUUUGCAGGAUCUUGUGGAACUGUGUAUCAUGUGUGCUAAUCCUAUUAAACAUUAUUAUUAAAGUGACAAUUUGCUCCUCUAAUAAAUACUAAUUUGAUUCUGAUGUUAAUAACUUUAACUACUUUAUAAAUUUUUGCUAUUUUUNUUAUUAUAUCACGCAUUACUAUAUUAUAAAAUUGUGACUUAUAAAUACUUAAUUUGAAAAUUUAUUUUCUCUUAUGGUGUGACAGGAUAUAAUUCAUCACUACAAAAAAAUAAAUAAUAAUUUAUACUAAUAGUCAUUCAAGACAUGAAUUACAUACUAGAUAGUAAUUGCUAGUUUCUAAACCAUUUUCAUUGUUUGUUUUAAAGUAUAACCUUUUUCUAUUUCUAAAAAAACAUUAUAUAUACCAGAUAAUUAUAUAUGUGUUUUUCUUAUACAUAUGUUUCAGAAUUUAUUUCUUUGAAAUGACAUGCUUAGAAAAUAAUUAACAAAGAUAAUAACAACUUUGGCUUGAAUUUAUUUCUUUGAAAUGACAUGCUUAGAAAAUAAUUAACAAAGAUAAUAACAACUUUGGCUNUAAUUAACAAAGAUAAUAACAACUUUGGCUUGAAUUUAUUUCUUUGAAAUGACAUGCUUAGAAAAUAAUUAACAAAGAUAAUAACAACUUUGGCUACUUACAUCAUUCUUUUAGUUCAGGGACUGUUUAGGAUGUGACAAUUCUGUUAUUAAUGAAUGACGAAAAAACCUUAUAUUUUACUGCAUUAUUAAGGUCCAAUAGAACAUAUAAAGAUAGNAAAACAAAAAAACAAAAAUAAAAAAGAGGUUAGACAAGAGAUGAGGAACAUGGAAAGAUCGUUAUAGGGUAUAAUUGGGCAUGAUCUUCAUGUGAUAUUGAUAUUUGNAGCAAGAACUAUUUCUUAUUUCUUUCCUUCAUCUAAUCUAUAAAUUAUAUUAUUGGUAUCACCGCAAGAAUUUUUUUUAUAUUUUGUAGUGCUUCCCUAGCUUGCAUUGUGUUCAAUAUUGAUUAAAUUGACCCUUGAAGUUGGCCUUGUGUUGCUGUUACAAUAACCCUGAACCUNUUGAGCAUAAUUAGAAGUAUUGGAUGUUGUCAUGUGGGUAUAUAUGAGGGGUUAGUUUGCUUAUGUUUGUGUUAUUUUUCUUCANUAUUUGAAUGUGAAUAGGAAUUUAUGUUUUAUAUUGUGGGUUGGUUGUCGUGGUUGACAAUUAAAUGUGAAGUAGGUGGUAUUUUGGUAUGAAUAUCUUAGUUGUAAUUAAAUUGAUACUGUUUUAUGAUCUCUUAUCAUUGUGCUAACACAGGGAAGAGAAAAUAGCAAAGAAAANGAGUUUUCAUGAGAGUUUUAGUGUGCAUCCGAGAGGCUGACAAUGCAAGGCAAAUGUGAGGCUUAAAGAAACAAGGAAGGGAUUAGGAAACUUAAGAGAAUCAUAGAACUUUGGCACUUUGUAUAAAUAUAUAUUACAUUUUUAACUAUACACUUUUAUUAUGUUAGUUAUUUGAAGUCAUUUUUGUAUAUAUAUAGAUUGUGUAUUUAUUAUUGUUGUUUUAAUAAAAACUCAUAGAUAUUUGGUACUAUUUUUUUGCAAUUUCA